ensembl:lncRNA
AGGAAGAGCAUUCAGACAAAGAGACCAGCAAAUGCAAAGGCCCUGGGGCAAGAAUGAGUUGGCCUUCUUCUUUGUGGAACAGAAAGACGGUAGCUGGAAUACCGAGAGCACAGAAUGAGGUAGGAAGAUAAGGGUGGGGACAGCAGAGAACAAGUCACGCAUGACUAUGAACUCUACAGAGUUUUCGUUACAUGUCAGUGAAUGUACACUUCACACCUGCUGAGUCUGAGCAUCGCCUUGAACACUUGAUGUACAUUUUCUCUUUUGAUCCCUUCGCAAAACAUAUAAAGCAGACAUUUUUUUUUUCCCCAUAAAGAUGAGAAAGUUAACUGGCCCUCAGACCUGUUUAAUAACUUACCUAAAAUCACACAAGUCAGAAGCAGGGAAAUUUAUGUGUAUCUGACCCUGAAAUUCACUGUCCCACUUAGCAGACUGUACUGCUUCUUAGACUUUAAGAUGAGACUUUGUGCUAUGGCAGAGAAUGUUAGGGAGCAAAGCUUUUGUGUGUGUGUUUGUGUGUGUGUGUUUAAUAAGGGAUUUCUUGGUGUUUCUCAGAUCAUAUCAAUUGGCUGACAUUUUAAUUCAUGAUCCCUUAAACACUGUAAUCUAAACUUGUUCUCUGCAGAGAGUAUGAUGUUUGAGGGAGAGGAACAAGAGAGAAGGGAGCAGAGACGUAGGCUUUGCAACUUUCUAUCAAUGCAGCCUCACUUGAUAAGGUGUCACACCACCCAAACGGAUGAAGAGAGAGGUGUAAAGUUACCACAUCACAAGUGUGAUUUUGCCAGGUCUAGUGACAGUAACACUAACACUUAAACAAAGAAGACAAAGCUGAAUGUGUGAAUGACUGGGUCCUUCACGGUUUUUUCAUGCUCAGGUGACAAAAAGUCCUUGGGACGUUUCUCUUUGUCUUUCUGAUGAGCUGGCAGAAGGUGGCAGAACAGUCAGCUUGCCAGGAAUGGCCAGUCUGAUUUGUUGAACCUUAGGUCUUGUCUUGGAACCAGUUGGUCACUGUCUCUUUAGACAUAAUGGGUUUGUGAUGACAUUCACAAAGCAAGGCAGCCUUGGUGCCCGGGAUCAAGCAUUCUUUGGAUUUGGUUAGUCCCGAGUUUCCCAACCUUCACUUUGACAUUUUCCUCUGGAUAGUUAUGUGCUGUGUGGGCUGUCCUGUGCACUGUAGUGUGUUUAGCCUUUAUCCUCUAGAUGCCAGGAGUGCCCCCCUCCAUGCUGUGACAGCCAAAAAUUCUCCAGACAUUGUCAGAAUGUCUAGGGACAAAAUCCCCCCAUCCCCAUUUAAGAAUUAUAGGCUAAUUCAAAUAGUUUAGUUUACUGAGAGUGGAAUCUAUUCUCGGUUUAACUCCAAACAAGUAGAAAUAUAUUCAAAUGUACCAAUGCUGAAGCUAAAAACAGCACCAAUGGCUAUUUAAACACUUUGCCUUAGAAAAAAUUAUGGUUAUAUUGGAAAAAUUGAAUUUGUGCACAUUCCAUGAUAUAUUUUGAAAGAUGCUUUUGUUUUUCUGUCUCGCUGUAUUAGUUAGGAUAAUUAAUGCAAGCUACUCUAACAAACAACCCUCAAAUAUGAGUGCUCCUAUGCAGUAAAUGUUUAUUUUUCAUGCACACAGUGUUUGGUGCUGUCACGUGAACUACAAGGGAGACUAAGAAAUGUAUUCUUUCUGUAGGAAGAGAAACAGGAAACAGCAUUUGGCAAAUACAGGACAUCAGCUCUGCCACAGUCCCAGGAAUCACAUUUUUAGCAUAUUGAAUAGUGAUUAAAAUCAUAUUUAUCUGCUGUUGCUAAUGGUCUGGAUUAUAAAUAAGCAACGUUGAGUAUAGUACAGUCUUUUGUAAGUGUGCCUAGCCUGAGAACUGCAGUCCCCACUCCCUACUAUUCAUUCUAAUGAGAUCUGCAAAUGGGCAUGAAGAAUGUUUUAUUUUACCUGCCCCAGGUAAAUAUGAUGACGAGGCAUCUUGGACUGAUUGGUCUCAGACCUAAGUAAUCUUAUAUCUUCCAUUUCUGCUGUCCUCCAUUAAGGCAAGAGAUUUGGAGUUGGUUGUCAUUUCUGGGCUCUCUUUAAAACAAAAACAGUAGUGUUACAACCGCUGAUUUCAGCUUUUCCUUCAAUUUCUGGUAAAUGCUACAAGCCCUAAUCAUUUCCCCUCCUGGUUUCUCCAUUAUCACUGCUGCCCAUCUCCAAGCUGCCACAAUUCCUUGACCAGUGCUCUGACUUACAUAGGAAUUUCUCACAAAAUGCAAAUCUGUCAGUUUUAAUCCUUUGCCUAAGCCCAUCAGUGGCCUCCCAUUGUCCUGGGAUCAAAUCCAAAUGUUUUAUCAUCUACCUAAAACAUCCUUUUUUCUGACUCUCUUUUCAACUACAUCCUCAAGGCUAACAUGGUCCCUGGCAUAUAGUCAGCGUUUCAAAAAAUCGUUGAGUGCAUGAUUUUCUGGAUGCAGUGAGCCGUGGAUAUAUGCAAACGUAAAUUUAGCCAAGGAAUUAGCUCUAACUGCCCCUCCCUCUUUAAAACAUACAUCAGUUUAUAUUAGUUUUCCACUGUGUCAAGAACUUAAGAAUAGUUUCUAUUUUUAUGAGAACUUGCAUUUCAGUUAAUAAAUUUUGCACAUGCGCAUAACCAAAUAUGUACUUCUAUACACACUGUAUAUUAUACUGGUGUUCCUACAUAGGUUGUAUAUCCACUGUACAACAGACAUACAAGUGUGUGUGUGUGUGUGUUUACAGACAUCAGUAUACUUGGUAUAUGUAUGUAUAAGUGUGCAUAUUAUUUUUUUUAUCUUCAUACCACCAUGGAUGGCAAGAAUGCCGGAACUAUUGUUUGUUUAAACAGAUGUGAAAACUGAGGCUUGCAGAGGAAAAGUGACUUGAGCAGAGCCACUUAGCUAGUAAUUGCAAAGCUGGGUUUUGAAUGGAGAAUCAUCCAGCCCCCAAAUCCAGCCCUUUGCCUUUCCAUCACGCUGCUUUUCUAGAGCUACGCCGCGUCUAAUUUCAUGCUAACAUUUAUUCUGUAAACAGAGUCACUGUUUCUCAUAAAUGAGCAAAUGAAAUUGACAUCUAGGCUGUAAAGCAGAAGACGGCAGUCUGUAUCUACUGGAAUGCGAUCCUGAAAGAUUUUGGACUAUCUCCUCUUAGGAUUUGGUUUCAUAUUUCCUAACGAGCAUAUACUAAAAUUUGAUCUCUCUUUAUUAAAAGAGGUUGGCCUUUUUUUUUUUUUUUUGUAUGUAAGUGGAAACAAAGUGUAGCCAGUCCAGCGAAUUUGCUCAAGCUCUGCACUCACAGAGAGAGAAAGCUUGUCUUCUCCUUCCUUGGGAAAUUGCCUGACCAUUUUCUCUCCUUCUCCCUCCCCCUCUCUCUCUCCCUCUCCCUCCUCUUUUCUCUUUCUAUGGGCCAGGGUUUCUCAACCUUGACAUUAUUGGGCUAGAUCAUGCGCUGUUAUGGGGAGCUGUCCUAUGCAUCAUGGGUGUCGAGCAGCAUCCCUGGCCUCUACCCUCUGGAUGCCAGUUGCAUCCUCUCCCCAAAAGUGAGACAACCAAAAAAUGUCUCCAGAUAUUGUCAAAUGUACCACGAUUAAAAACACUGAUAAUAUAUAUGAUGUCUAAAAGCUUCCUGAUCGAAUAAUGGUGAGAUUCCUGCCGUGAAAUAGGAAACCUUGAUAUCAUUAAAGAGCACUGGUUUAGCUGCCUCAAGGUGGAGACACUGGGCAUUAGAAUAUCUGGGGGCAUGGGUGGAGGGGGUCGCACCCUGGCUCUAGCGUGCCAAACGCACAUCUCUCUGGCUUUCCUUUUGCUGUUCUCAAAUCUUUACACCUUCCAUGAUGAUCCUCUCAAAAAGAGAGGAUAAUAAAAAAAGUUUAAAAAAAAACCCACGUACUUUCAAAAUUACAUGGCCUUACAGUCUGUCCGGCUAAUAAAAUUAUGCACCGCAGCUUAAAUUCAGACAUUGAGCUUCAUCUCUUACUUAAAUGUAUCUGUGUGUUUUAAUAGGAACAUUCAGCUUUGCUUUUAUUAAUGCAAAAACAUUAAGGCACCAGCCCUCGAUCCGAAAGCCUUAAAGGGCUGUUUCCAACAGAACCUGUCAUAAAAUGUGCUCUCAAGCGUGUCCCCUUUAAGAGACUCCAGAAUUAAAUGUUCCCGUAUGUGAAUUUUAUUUUGUACAGCACAUUUGCUUUAUGGCUACAAUUAAGUUAGAUGUGCCGAUAACAAUGUCUGUUUUCCAUUUUAAAUCGCACAUUUCAGACAGUGCGCAUUGUUUUAUUAUCUAAUCCACAUGCUUUUAAUUGCAAUUAUGGUCCCUUAUGAGUCCCCUGGGAGGGCAUGAUUGCAAUUAAAAAUGUAAUUUAAAUGUUAAUUAAUUACAUUCAUUUUCUAAACUGGGAAAAUUUCAUUUAUUAUUUUCAUGUGUUGUGCACUUAUCCUAAAUGCAUUACCUUCUAAAUGUUUUUUUUCCUAAAUUAAGUGUUAUGUUUAUAAAACAGGGUGUUUAAUAUCCUUUAAAAUUUUUGUGAGGGUGUUUGUACAAAUUAUUACUUUCAAUUAAUUGAUUCUGAGCUAUAUACAUGAGCUAUAUGUUCUAUAUAUAAUAAAAAUAAUUUUGUUGGUUUUUCCCCGACUAAAAUAUGGCAUCAGAAUAUAUGUUUUACUCAUUUACUUUCUGAUAGACUUUGAUAUGGAGAGGAAAGACUGUACUUUUUUAUUACUAUCAUUAUUUUUUUUAAACAAAGGGAGAAAGGUAUUGUUACUACAAAUGAUACAGACCAUUAAUAUGAAAAGGGUUUUCCCUCUAGAUGAAAAUUGCAAUCUAAGGAAGAAAUUUAUAGUUAGAUUAAUAACUCAUCCUGCCUCCUAUGAAUAAAUAAGGGGGAACAAAAAAGAGCCACAAAGAUACGAAGCUGUAAAAUUCAUUGUAACUUUACAGGAAAAAAAAAAAAAAA